rnacentral:rRNA from 1 species
CCUACGGGUGGCAGCAGUGGGUAAUAUUGCACAAUGGGGGAAACCCUGAUGCAGCGACGCCGCGUGAGUGAAGAAGUAUUUCGGUAUGUAAAGCUCUAUCAGCAGGAACGAGACAAUACGGUACCUUACUAAGAAGCCCCGGCUAACUACGUGCCAGCAGCCGCGGUACUACGUAGGGGUCAACCGUUAUCCGGCAGCAAUGGGGGUAAAGGGAGCGUAGACGGCUGAGCAAGCCUGAAGUGAAAGGCGGGGGGCCAACCCCCGGACUGCUUUGGCAACUGUACGGCUGGAGUGCAGGAGAGGUAAGUGGAAUUCCUAGUGUAGCGGUGAAAUGCGUAGAUAUUAGGAGGAACACCAGUGGCGAAGGCGGCUUACUGGACUGUAACUGACGUUGAGGCUCGAAAGCGUGGGGAGCAAACAGGAUUAGAUACCCCGGUAGUC